CCUACGGGAGGCAGCAGUGAGGAAUAUUGGUCAAUGGACGAGAGUCUGAACCAGCCAAGUAGCGUGAAGGAUGACUGCCCUAUGGGUUGUAAACUUCUUUUAUAUGGGAAUAAAAUGUUCCACGUGUGGGAUUUUGUAUGUACCAUAUGAAUAAGGAUCGGCUAACUCCGUGCCAGCAGCCGCGGUAAUACGGAGGAUCCUAGCGUUAUCCGGAUUUCUUGGGUUUAAAUGGAGCGUAGGUGGAUUGUUAAGUCAGUUGUGAAAGUUUGCGGCUCAACCGUAAAAUUGCAGUUGAAACUGGCAGUCUUGAGUACAGUAGAGGUGGGCGGAAUUCGUGGUGUAGCGGUGAAAUGCGUAGAUAUCACGAAGAACUCCGAUUGCGAAGGCAGCUCACUGGACUGCAACUGACACUGAGGCUCGAAAGUGUGGGUAUCAAACAGGAUUAGAUACCCCUGUAGUC
rnacentral:rRNA from 1 species